rnacentral:lncRNA from 1 species
AGAAAACCAAGGAUUCUGGGUCAGGCCCACUCCUGCCCUCGCCUGCCCUGGGUCUCCCUGUCACACCGCCAGCCUCCACCAAGGCCAGGCCCUCGGAGACCAGCCGGGAGCACCGCCAGGCCGUCGUCAGCUAUGUCAGAGUCUGUGGCCCCAAGCAGAGGGCAACCACCAUAGGGAUGUCCUCGCUCAGAAUCUGGCCCACUCUCCCGGUAAGCAGCCAGUAAGUCCUUCCAGCUGUCUAACUUCCUUUCCUCUUGCUUCAAGCCCAGUCUCUGGUUCUGAGGAAAUGGAGUGACUCUCCCCCGUCGUGCUCCAUGGAGCCUUUCGUGGCCAACAGGUGCUGCUGUGGGUCUGGAUCAAGAAUUCACUUCCCUGGAAACUGCUGAGGUUUCUGAGGGAUACAGGGAGGGGCAAGGCGGAGAAGCGGCAGGGGGUUUCUGUGUUCAGGGCUUCAGGGACCUGGGAAAUGGUAAACCACAUGUGAUGUCCAUUUCCUGCCCUCUAACCUGGCCGGGCAGCAAGG